UCAUCAAGAAAUCAAGAAAUCCAAACUUGUAAGAAUCAUCUAAGUAAUAAGAAAUCUUUUUCAAAGUUAUAAAAAAACUUUCUUCUUCAUAAAGUUUCUUUCUCUUCAAACACUUAAAACACUUUCUCCAUUUCUAUAAAGUUUUUCAUUCCAACACACCUCUGAGAGAUUAUUCACCAUCGUCGGCGACUUCGACGCACCACCGCUUUCUAGAGGCAACUCUGGAGAUUUCGAUCCGAGCUCGGUCUGUUUAGCCAAGAUGGGUUGUAAAAAUUUUAUGGAGGACAACAAUAACAAGGAGGAGAAACAGAGGUGCGGUCGUAGCCGUUGUAGUUGCUUUAUAGAGAGUGCAAACAGAGAGCUCUGACGAUCUCAAGCAUUCUCAAGAGUUUUGGUCCUCUGAACGAGCAUCCAUCUGUGACCAAGAUUGUGGAGACAAGUAAGAACUUCAAGGGUAAAGACCAAUCUUGCUUGAAGACCGUGUCAAAUGGAAAGACUGUUGAUUUGACAUUGAUUUCGAGCCCAACUUCGAGAUUGCUCGUGCCACAAAGACCCUACAAGUCGAUCUUGCAUAAAUUGCCUUGCAUUUUUUUAAGCAAAGCGGAUGGGUUACAGAUCGAUCAUCAUGCUUCUGUGUAAAGCAACAAAGCAGAGUUUGAAUAUUAAGAAAGUGACUUGAUGGAGGAGAGCAGUGUAUGUUAAAUCAAAGUGACUGUCUACUUAUGUUCGUGGAGAAGACAAGCAGGGGCCAGUAGAUACAUCGGUGGGUUCCACAAUAGUCUUUGGUGUUUGAAGAUCGUGUGAACAAAUUAAAAAAUAAAAGGGAGACUUUGACUGGACUCUGUGGGCUCUGUAGCUAGCUGAGUGUGUGUGAUUAGUGGAUUAUUAUAAGAGAAAAAUAGAAAAAAAGAGACACUCUUGGAUUUGUCACUUUAGAAUUUUUAGAAGAUGUUUUAGAAAAAUAGGAUUUUGAUUUUCUUUAAGGGGGUGUUAUUGGUUUGUAUAUUUUAGUGGAUUUAGAAAUCCAAACCAAAUCAAGUGUUAUUGGUUUUAUGAUUUUAAAAUCUAUAUGCAAAUCAAGUGUUAUUGGUUAUAUGAUUUUAAAAUAGAUUUUGAAAUCAAGUGUUAUUCAAUAAUAAGAAUUUAUUUAAG